GUAAAAUACUGACACAAGAUGGCUGCUGUCAAAUAUGAUGAAACAGGAGUCACAUGCAUGCUACUGUACACAUGCAACAUACCUCACAUACUUAGAAAUUUCCACUCCCUUUGUUGUUUCCAUUAUUUAUUGAUGUGGGAUAUAUGCACAAGCAACCUACAGAUCAUCAUGUGUUUAGCUUCGACCACUCAACCAGCUCUUCUCAUUUUACAUGCAAAAUUAGUCUCUGUUUGAAUUGCAAUAAUUACAUUUAAUAUAUCUAAUAAAUACACGUUGAGUAUAAUUGUUCUGUUACUUUUUAAUGUCAUUUUACUUUUUAAGUUUAGUAAGUUAGUUUAUAGACAAAAAAUAAAGUAACAUUAAUUACCUAACCACUCUUAGAGUUACACCCAUCUGGAAGCAUCAAAGAUAGGUACACAAGUGAGUAAAACUACAGACUGAGAUGCUCUUUUUAAACCCUGAUUCGGCACUCGUUUUGUUGUUUACAGUUUAAUCCAUAGCCAAGAAACAAGAGGCCAUUUUGCUUCUUGCCUUACAAAUUUACAUUUCAAGCACCUUGCUGCUAACAUAGUUACCUGCAUAUACCAAUUUGUCUACAGGAUGACAUGCCAUCUCCAGGACCUCACUGUUUUAACACUGUGGUGGAGUCGAGCAAGGGAUGGAUCGAGCAGUGGGUUCGGGGGACGGUACCUGCACAGCUGAGGUCCAUCACACAAACCACGCCUUCCCUAUUUCAGUAGCUGCUAGGUCCCAGAAGAGAUGUCUGAGGUUUGGAGAGGACAGCACUGAGCGGGAGCGCGCUGGAAAAUAUACAGCCUAAAACAAACUACCAUGUCUUAUGGUCCUUGUGUCACAAACACAUUUAACAGGUCUCACUCAGGUUCAUCCCCUCAGUUGGCAGCAGAGCAGUAAAUUAAAGUUAAUCCAGGCACACCUGGUUCAUUUUUUAUCUUCAUGCCUGUGUGUAAUCAGAUGUGAAAAAAAAUAUUGACAGCAGUGAGCAUGCUCA
ensembl:lncRNA